UACAGAGGGUGCGAGCGUUAAUCGGAAUUACUGGGCGUAAAGCGUGCGUAGACGGUUAUUUAAGUCGGGUGUGAAAGCCCCGGGCUCAACCUGGGAAUUGCAUUCGAGACUGAAUAGCUAGGGUACGGUAGAGGGAAGUGGAAUUUCCGGUGUAGCGGUGAAAUGCGUAGAUAUCAGGAAGAACACCAAUGGCGAAGGCAGCUCUCUGGGACGGUACUGACACUGAGACGCGAAAGCGUGGGGAGCGAACAGG
rnacentral:rRNA from 1 species